rnacentral:lncRNA from 1 species
CAACUGUUUAUAGAUAUUCAUAUAAUAACUAUUAAAUCCAUGAAACUGAACUGAAAUACUUUUAAUAGCAUCAAAUAAUCAAUAUUUAUAGAUUUUUAGCCAUUGAAUUAAGGAAUUGCGAUGUUAGAAUAUAGUGGCCCACCUAAAUUUAAGGAGUAGGUCUUGUGUGCUAUUAGGAGACGGAGGUUUCUGUGCUCCUAAGCCGUUUUCGAUGAUGGGACUUUCAAAUCGACGAUCGGCUCCGUUAGACUUGAUUUAAUGUAUUUGAAAUAUCUAGAAAAUAAAUAUUACGAUAUUCCGAUAUCUUUUACCUAACGAUCGAAAGGGUUCAAAACCAACAAUUUCUAAUAGUUGAUGUAUAUCGUUUGUAAGUUUUACGGUGUAGAAGUAUUUAAAUAAGAUUUUGAUAAAAAAUUCUUUAUACUAUUUACUGCAAGAUUAAUAUCUCUAAUUGAAAAUUUUAGUGCUAUAUUACCACGUUUUGUGAGAUUUUUAUUUUCACUUGUUGAUUUUGAACUCUUUCGAUUGAUAGGUAAAUGAUAUCGAAAAACCACAAAAUGUAUUUUCUAGAUACUUUAAAUGUAUUAGAUCAAGUCUAACGGAGCCGAUCAUUGAUUCGAAAGUCCCAGUAUCGAAAACGACUUAGGAGCACGGAGGUCUUUGUGCUUCUAAUAGCACACAAGACCUACUCCUUCAAUUUAGCAGGUAGUAAAAUAGUAUAGCCUAAAAGAUAGAAAUGAUUAAAAAAAAAUCUAUAAUGGUACAUAAAUUUGAUAGUAUCAAAUAUAGGGAUGCAAACGGGGCGGAUUUGGAGGCUGGAGCCCCGCCCUGCCUCCUGCCUCGACUGCCAAAAUUCCGUCCCGAAUCCGUAACGGGUUAAAAAAUAUAUCUCAUAAUCCAUCUCGCCUCAUAACCCACCUUCCGUCGGUGCUCCGAAUUUACUCGACCAAUUAAUACAUAUUUAAAAAAAUAAUAUUAUUAAUAUUUUAUGAAAUAUAAAUUAAUAAAUUUUUAAUAAUAAUGAAUAAUAUAACUAAGUUAUAUAAAAAAUUAACAACCUCAAUUAUAAAAAUAAAAAAUAUUAAUUACAAUUCGAAGCAAAAUUCAAAAGUUUACAUAAAAAAUGAGAGUACCAACUUAUUUGUAUUUUAGACUUUUUUAUAAAUAUAUUAUUUUUUUAAGGAUAUUUUCUUACAAUAUAAACAAUUUUUAAGGCGAAUUCGGAGCGGGUCAAAAUUUUUUCCGUUUCCUGUCCUGAAUUCGUCUCGGAUCAUAAAAGCUAUUCUGUUUUCUGUCUCGAAUAUAUUUAUUUCUUCUCGUUUACUGCCCUAUUCGGAGUGGAUUGGUGCGGGAGCUCCACCAAUCUGGAUCCGAUUGCAUCUCUAAUCAAAUACUUAGAUGAUACUAAAAGUAGAGUAGAGCUACUAUACUAUAAUGCUUCCGAUUUUUUGGCCCUUAGAUCAACUCCUUUGAUCAUUUCUAAUCUUUGGAUUAAUACUAUUACCCUGUGGGGACCACUCAACCCUAGAAGUACUACUCAACCUUGGGGGGAUCGCAAAGCAUCAUAUGCUCUAUACUUCUGAUAGCAUAGUAGCUCUACACCUAAUAAAAGUAUAUUAACAAGACUUGUGUAAACUAUUUGAGUAAACUAAUAAUUUAC